ACCACUGGAAGUUAAUGUAGAUUCUACAGAGGUAAUAGCAAUGCUUUCUAGCGAUAAUCUUUACUACUUAUCCUCUCUAAUGGAAUGCAGUUAUUACUCCAACAGCUGGGUAAUCUGCCCACCACUCAUACAUACAUGGAGAAAAACUAUGCAGCACAUUAUCUGGCGCAAAAUAUGGCUCAGCUACUCAAACUCAGGACACUACAACUAUUUUCAGUAAGCCACCACACUUUUUGCUCGAGCAACUAUUAGCUGACCAAGCAGGGACUGUCUAUCGGCGUAUUAUCAAACACUGCAAUACAAUGAACCUCCUCUAUGUUCC
rnacentral:lncRNA from 1 species